UGUUUGCAGAAAGGCAGGAAACUUUAUUGAAUAAUCUUUUCUUUGGGGUAGAGAAGUUGAGAAACCAAAGCGUAUCCAGGUCAGAGAGGAGAGAGAUCCGACCGGAAGAGAAGAGCACAGAGGGCCCACCAUCAGGAGAGAGUCAGGACAGGGGGUCCUGAGAGCAGAGGGACUGAGCCUUGGGUCCAGCAGCCCCUCCUCUCUCCUGCAGGGAACUGCCGGCUCUCUCCUCCUCUGGGUGCUGAAGACAGAGGGAGGGGACGCCAGGCAGAUUUAAGGCCUACGGACAUCAGAAGUGCGGCGACCAGAGGCAUUAGAGGUGGUGGUAACAGAGGGGUCUCCUCUCUGACAUGAGGGGGUGGAUCUCUAAGGCCCUGCCUGCUCUGACACCCACGGGUCCUGCAGUCACUAUCCUAAGAAAGAGGCUGGAGAGGACCUACUUGGCGUCCUGGCCCUCGAGCAGGCUGCGGUAGGUG
ensembl:lncRNA novel transcript